AGUCGAACGCAACCUUCGGGUUGAGUGGCGGACGGGUGAGUAAUGCGUGAGAAUCUGCCUUGGGGUCGGGGAAACCACUGGAAACGGUGGCGAAUACCGGAUAAGCCUUUGGGUAAAAAAUUUAUUGCCCCAAGAGGAGCUCGCGUCUGAUUAGCUAGUUGGUGAGGUAAGAGCUCACCAAGGCAGCGAUCAGUGGCUGGUCUGAGAGGACGAUCAGCCACACUGGGACUGAGACACGGCCCAGACUCCUACGGGAGGCAGCAGUGGGGAAUUUUCCGCAAUGGGCGAAAGCCCUGACGGAGCAAGACCGCGUGAGGGAGGAAGGCUCUUGGGUUGUAAACCUCUUUUCUCAGGGAAGAAGCUCUGACGGUACCUGAGGAAUCAGCCUCGGCUAACUCCGUGCCAGCAGCCGCGGUAAUACGGAGGAGGCAAGCGUUAUCCGGAAUUAUUGGGCGUAAAGCGUCCGCAGGUGGCGAUUCAAGUCUGCUGUCAAAGCACGGGGCUUAACUCCGUUAAGGCCGUGGAAACUGAAUAGCUAGAGUGCCGUAGGGGUAGAGGGAAUUCCCGGUGUAGCGGUGAAAUGCGUAGAGAUCGGGAAGAACAUCGGUGGCGAAAGCGCUCUACUGGACGGCAACUUGACACUCAGGGGACGAAAGCUAGGGGAGCGAAUGGGAUUAGAUACC
rnacentral:rRNA from 1 species